UACGUAGGGGGCUAGCGUUGUCCGGAAUCAUUGGGCGUAAAGAGCGUGUAGGCGGCCCGGUAAGUCCGCUGUGAAAGUCGGGGGCUCAACCCUCGAAAGCCGGUGGAUACUGUCGGGCUAGAGUGCGGAAGAGGCGAGUGGAAUUCCUGGUGUAGCGGUGGAAUGCGCAGAUAUCAAGAGGAACACCUGAGGUGAAGACGGGUUGCUGGGCCGACACUGACGCUGAGUGCGCGAAAGCCAGGGGAGCAAACGGG
rnacentral:rRNA from 1 species